rnacentral:rRNA from 1 species
AGUAACGCGUGGGUAACCUACCCUGAAGUUGGGGACAACUCUUCGAAAGGGGAGCUAAUACCGAAUGUGGUCCCCCCCCGCAUGUGGGGGAGACUAAAGGUGGAAUCCUUCGGGAUCUGCCGCUUCUGGAGGGGCCCGCGUGACAUCAGCUUGUUGGUGAGGUAAUGGCUCACCAAGGCUUACGUCUAGCUGGUCUGAGAGGAUGGUCAGCCACACUGGGACUGAGACACUGCCCAGACUCCUACGGGAGGCUGCAGUCGAGAAUCAUUCACAAUGCGCGAAAGCGUGAUGAUGCGACGCUGCGUGGAGGAUGAAGGCCCUAGGGUUGUAAACUCCUGUCAUGAGGGAAAAACCGCACGGAUGUAAAUAGCGUCUGUGUUUGAUGGUACCUCAAGAGGAAGCCACGGCUAACUCUGUGCCAGCAGCCGCGGUGAUACAGAGGUGGCGAGCGUUGUUCGGAUUUACUGGGCGUAAAGCGUACGUAGGUGGUUUCGUGUGUCGGGUGUGAAAGCCCACGGCCCAACCGUGGAAUUGCACUCGAAACUGCGGGACUUGAGUGCAGGAGGGGAGAGCGGAAUUCAGGGUGUAGCGGUGAAAUGCGUUGAUAUCCUGAAGAACACCGGUGGCGAAGGCGGCUCUCUGGAAUGUUACUGACACUGAGGUACGAAAGCGUGGGGAGCGAACAGGAUUAGAUACCCUGGUAGUCCACGCCGUAAACGUUGUGCACUUGGUGUGGGCGGUAUUGACCCCGUCCGUGCCGGAGCUAACGCGUUAAGUGCACCGCCUGGGGAGUACGGCCGCAAGGCUAAAACUCAAAGAAAUUGACGGGGGCCCGCACAAGCGGAGGAGCAUGUGGCUCAAUUCGAUACAACGCGAAGAACCUUACCUGGACUUGACAUGUAACUGCAUGCCCCGGGAAACCGGGGAGGCCUUCGAGGGUGUUACACAGGUGCUGCAUGGCUGUCGUCAGUUCGUGCCGUGAGGUGUUGGGUUAAGUCCCGCAACGAACGCAACCCUUGUGUUUAGUUGCCACCGGUGGUGAUGAGCCACCGAGCACUCUAAACAGACUGCCUGUACAAGCAGGAGGAAGGUGGGGAUGACGUCAAGUCAGUAUGGCCCUUAUGUCCAGGGCUGCACACGUGCUACAAUGGCCGGUACAAUGGGAAGCAAUACCGCGAGGUGGAGCAAAUCCUCAACACCGGUCCCAGUUCGGAUUGGAGUCUGCAACUCGACUCCAUGAGGUUGGAUUCGCUAGUAAUGCCGUAUCAGCUACGACGGCGUGAAUACGUUCCCGGGCCUUGUACACACCGCCCGUCACAUCAUGAAAGCCGUCUGCACCCGAAGUCGCCGAGCUAACCCGCAAGGGAGGCAGGUGCCGAAGGUGUGGGUGGUGAUU